GAUCUUGACAACAAGUCCUUUGGCUUAGGACCUUUUCCUUUCUAUCCUUUUUUCUCUGUAGGAAACUACAGCACUUAAUACUGGUUCCUUCUCAUCUGCAGCCUCUAAUUUCUUUGUCAGUCGCUGGAGCUCUCCUGAAGUGUGUAAUGAGAUGGGGGAAAAGUUCUCAUGCUUGUGACUGCAGUCUUGAGAGAAGAGCUUUGCUCAAGCCCAGGCUGAGAGAUCAUUCAUCUUCUGCUGGUACCUUGGCCAUUACUGCAGUGAAGAACAGCUCUGAGCUAAUGGUGCUGUAGUCAUCCUCUUUGUCCUUGCUGUCUAUUUCCAUUCUGCUGGUACUUGCAACUGUUUAGCACCAUAAUAAAAUCCACUGCAUUUCUGACAUGCUCUUCCAAAAA